UUGAAUCCGCACAUGCGCGUUUGGACAAGUCUAACUGCGCACUUUGGAUCUGAGACGAGACGAAUUGGCGGGCUGCUGCGUGGCUGCUUUCUGUCGUGUUUGAGAUCAAGGAGGAAUUCAGGAGAAUCGAUCAUGGGGCAGAGAUUCAUGUUCAGACUUGACCAAUGCACAUCAAGACUUAUUGCCCUGAUGAAGGCCAUGGGAGGUCUUGUGGGGACCAACUGAGGCCAUUUCUGGACAAACUGAGUCAGACACAAAGCCUUGAGAUGGGAAUCAGUUAUCCGCAGCCUCAUUCUCUACUUUGACGAUAAAGAAGAUGAUAAACUGUGUUUUGAAGAUGAACAGAGUUCUGACGGGCUCGGGACGACAUGAGGGAGGACAGCGGCAGUGACAUCACUCAGCACAGCAUUAAAAUACUGGUCGUUCGUGGUGCUGAUGGAGAAGAUCCAAUCGAUGUAUCCAUCCUUUUUGAAGGGAAGGAAAUGCUGGAAGCAGCAAUACCGUAAAGACAGUUUUACUGAAUGCACCUGUGUCAAGAGAUGACUGAAUGUCCAUUCUUGUAUGAACAUUUUUGAUGACUGAAAAAUAAACUGUUUAAUUGAA